UAGGGAAUCUUCGGCAAUGGGGGGAACCCUGACCGAGCAACGCCGCGUGAGUGAAGAAGGUUUUCGGAUCGUAAAGCUCUGUUGUUAAGGAAGAACGAGUGUGAGAAUGGAAAGUUCAUGCUGUGACGGUACUUAACCAGAAAGGGACGGCUAACUACGUGCCAGCAGCCGCGGUAAUACGUAGGUCCCGAGCGUUGUCCGGAUUUAUUGGGCGUAAAGCGAGCGCAGGCGGUUAGAAAAGUCUGAAGUUAAAGGCAGUGGCUCAACCAUUGUAGGCUUUGGAAACUGUUUAACUUGAGUGCAGAAGGGGAGAGUGGAAUUCCAUGUGUAGCGGUGAAAUGCGUAGAUAUAUGGAGGAACACCAGUGGCGAAGGCGACUCUCUGGUCUGUAACUGACGCUGAGGCUCGAAAGCGUGGGUAGCAAACAGG
rnacentral:rRNA from 1 species